CAGCCGCCGCGGUAAUACGAAGGGGGCUAGCGUUGCUCGGAAUGACUGGGCGUAAAGGGCGCGUAGGCGGCGAUCAAAGUCAGGCGUGAAAUUCCUGGGCUCAACCUGGGGGCUGCGCUUGAUACUUGGUUGCUUGAGUGGGGAAGAGGGUCGUGGAAUUCCCAGUGUAGAGGUGAAAUUCGUAGAUAUUGGGAAGAACACCGGUGGCGAAGGCGGCGACCUGGUCCUUGACUGACGCUGAGGCGCGAAAGCGUGGAGAGCAAACAGGAUUAGAUACCCCCGUAGUCCCUGUCUCUUAUAC
rnacentral:rRNA from 1 species